rnacentral:rRNA from 1 species
ACUCCUACGGGAGGCAGCAGUGGGGAAUAUUGCACAAUGGGCGCAAGCCUGAUGCAGCAACGCCGUGUGAGUGAAGAAGGUUUUCGGAUCGUAAAACUCUGUCCUAAGGGAAGAAACAAAUGACGGUACCUUAGGAGGAAGCCCCGGCUAACUACGUGCCAGCAGCCGCGGUAAUACGUAGGGGGCAAGCGUUAUCCGGAAUCACUGGACGUAAAGGGUGCGUAGGCGGCUUAGCAAGCCAGGGGUGAAAGGCAUUGGCUCAACCAAUGUAAGCCUUUGGAACUGUUAAGCUUGAGUGCAGGAGAGGUAAGUGGAAUUCCUAGUGUAGAGGUGAAAUUCGUAGAUAUUAGGAGGAACACCAGUGGCGAAGGCGACUUACUGGACUGUAACUGACGCUGAUGCACGAAAGCGUGGGUAGCGAACAGGAUUAGAUACCCUGGUAGCACAGAG